AGCCCCCUGUAUUCGUGCUGAGAUUUCGUCAGAGAUCAACCCGCGUUGGAUGAUGGUACUUCCCAAAUAAGUGAAGCG
rnacentral:pre_miRNA from 1 species